AUUAGAUUAAAAACCAAUGCCCUUCGGGGCUUCCUGGUGAUUCAUGAUAACUUCUCGAAUCGCACGGCCUUGCGCUGGCGAUGGUUCAUUCAAAUUUCUUCCCUAUCAACUUUCGAUGUUUGGGUAGUGGCCAAACAUGGUUGCAACGGGUAACGGAGGGUUAGGGCUCGACCCCGGAGAAGGAGCCUGAGAAACGGCUACUACAUCCAAGGAAGGCAGCAGGCGCGCAAAUUACCCAAUCCCAAUUCGGGGAGGUAGUGACAAUAAAUACUGAUACAGGGCCCUUUCGGGUCUUGUAAUCGGAAUGAGUACAAUUUAAAUCUCUUAACGAGGAACAAUUGGAGGGCAAGUCUGGUGCCAGCAGCCGCGGUAAUUCCAGCUCCAAUAGCGUAUAUUAAAGUUGUUGUGGUUAAAAAGCUCGUAGUUGAACCUCGGGCUUGGCUAGCCGGUCCGCCUCACCGCGUGUACUGGUUUGGCUGGGUCUUUCCCUCUGUGGAACCGCAUGCACUUCACUGGG
rnacentral:rRNA from 1 species